AGUGAUUCUUAUCAAUCUUGCAUUGGAAAAACACGGAGCCUAUUAUUAUCAGGGAAGCAUUUGAGCCAAAGUACUAUGUACAUCACCAUGCUUUUAUGUGACUAUAUAUAUAAAUAUAACAAAUAAAGUUUUAUUGGACCAGUUCUUUGACCAUGCCAUUGGUAUCAACGUUCCAAGGUCCUGCUUCCUACCAGUUAAGGCGACAUUAGAUUUGCAGCUAGUACAGUCUGAUCUAUAUACCUUGGUUGAUGGCUUCGUUACACGUAAUUCAGCCAGAACAAAUCCAUCAAAUCCCUCAAUUGAACUUGGUCCUGAGUUCAAGAAGGUUGGGAGCUUCCUUGGUCGCUUCAAGUCCAUACCUAGCAUUGUUGAGCUUGACAGCUUGAAGGUUUCCAGUGAUGUUUGGUUCGGUUCUGGAAUUGUAC